ACUAAAAUAUUUAUUCUGAUAGGAACUAGGUAUACAACCAACUAUGCAACGAGUAGUUUAAAGUGUUGCGUUGAUUUUCGGUGCGACUUGAUGGAAUAUCUGGUUACUUUGGAAUUGUUAAGUUUACAAUCUGUCAAGGAUUUUCCGCCGAACGUGGUUGACAGAAGUGAAAGACUUCACUCUUUCGAAGGAUUUGGUAGAAAUAACAUCUCCAAUCUCCAAUGGCCGGUGAUUCUAUCUAGAAGAGAAUUUGUGUUAAAAUUUGGUUUUAUGUGAAUUCUGAAUAUAAGUUAGAAGUUGUGUUUUUUUUUGGUUUUGGUGAAGUAUAGGAGAGGAGUUUCGUUGCUUUUUACAGCAUCACCGGUCAUUGGAGAAGAAGAUAGAGUCCAAGUAGUCAUUAAUUUAUUCUUUUAAAUGGAAAAAUAAUAAGUUGGAAAUUUUGGGUCAAUUUUGUUGGAUAUGGGCAUGGAAUUUUUGUUGAGUUUCCGGUACUAGGAAGUACAUCCUCGUCGAGACAAGUACCCUCCACCCCUAAGGUUGGGAAAACCUGGAAAAUACUGUACUUGGGUCUCUUCCCAUCAUCACCCUCGAAGGAGGUUGGAUGAGAAACACACCUUCACUUGUGUGGAAGCGACAGGUUUUAUAAAUAGAAUUUGCAUGUCAAUUUAUUUAAUAAUACCUUUAAAUUUUACUCUUUUUGUCAAUAACUGUUAAUAAUAAUUUAUCUUCAUUUUUCUUAAAAAUAUAAUUAACCUAAUAACAUUCAAUAUUUUGAUACAUUAAAUCUUUCCACUGUUUCUAUCAUUUGUUUACAAUAGUUUGAAGGUUGUAAACCAUCUUGUUGUAAGAGUGUUGUGCACAAUAUUCGGGGGUUUAGAACCUUAUUUCAUAACCUAUUUAAAUAAAAUUUAUUUCAUCGGUUAGGCAUUGUCACCUCCGAUCAGAUACGGGAUUGUCAGCCAAUCGUGUAUCCUUCCUUAAUCAUAAGUUGUACACACUGUUGGAUAUAAUUAAUUUCUUACAUAUUUUCAUAUUGUAAAACCUGCGUUAUCGACAGGAGCGUACUAGCCUAGUACGUCCGGUAAGUUAGCUAGUUUGUAUAAAAUUGUAUAUAGGGGUUAUAGGUAUUUUUUUUUCAUUAAAUUUGUUGGUUGUACAUA